rnacentral:rRNA from 1 species
UAGUCUACGCCGUAAACGAUGGAUACUAGUUGUUUGGUUUUCGGACUGAGUGACUAAGCGAAAGUGAUAAGUAUCCCACCUGGGGAGUACGUUCGCAAGAAUGAAACUCAAAGGAAUUGACGGGGGCCCGCACAAGCGGUGGAGCAUGUGGUUUAAUUCGAUGAUACGCGAGGAACCUUACCAGGGCUUAAAUGUAGUAUGACAGGCUGAGAGAUCGGUUUUUCUUCGGACAUAUUACAAGGUGCUGCAUGGUUGUCGUCAGCUCGUGUCGUGAGAUGUUGGGUUAAGUCCCGCAACGAGCGCAACCCUCGCCUUUAGUUGCCAGCAUUUAGUUGGGCACUCUAAAGGAACCGCCGGUGAUAAGCCGGAGGAAGGUGGGGAUGACGUCAAGUCAGCAUGCCCCUUAUGCUCUGGGCUACACACGUGCUACAAUGGCCGUGACAAAGAGUUGCUACUUUGUGAAAACAAGCUAAUCUCAUAAACGCGGCCUCAGUUCGGAUUGCAGGCUGAAA